UAAGCGGAGGAAAAGAAACCAACAGGGAUUGCCCCAGUAACGGCGAGUGAAGCGGCAACAGCUCAAAUUUGAAAUCUGGCCCCCGGGUCCGAGUUGUAAUUUGCAGAGGAUGCUUCGGGCGAGGUGCCUUCCGAGUUCCCUGGAACGGGACGCCACAGAGGGUGAGAGCCCCGUCUGGUCGGACACCGAGCCCGUGUGAAGCUCCUUCGAAGAGUCGAGUAGUUUGGGAAUGCUGCUCAAAAUGGGAGGUAUAUGUCUUCUAAAGCUAAAUAUUGGCCAGAGACCGAUAGCGCACAAGUAGAGUGAUCGAAAGAUGAAAAGCACUUUGAAAAGAGGGUUAAAAAGUACGUGAAAUUGUUGAAAGGGAAGCGCCCAUGACCAGACUUGGGCCCGGUGAAUCACCCGGCGUUCUCGCCGGUGCACUUUGCCGGGCACAGGCCAGCAUCAGUUUGGCGCGGGGGACAAAGGCUUCGGGAACGUGGCUCCCUCGGGAGUGUUAUAGCCCGCUGCGUAAUACCCUGCGCCGGACUGAGGUACGCGCAUCGCAAGGAUGCUGGCGUAAUGGUCAUCAGCG
rnacentral:rRNA from 1 species